UACGUAGGGGGCAAGCGUUGUCCGGAUUCACUGGGCGUAAAGCGCGCGCAGGUGGCGAUUUAAGUCUGGGGUGAAAACCCGGAGCUCAACUCCGGGACGGCCUUGGAUACUGGGUCGCUUGAGGACAGGAGAGGCAAGGGGAAUUCCACGUGUAGCGGUGAAAUGCGUAGAGAUGUGGAGGAACACCCGUGGCGAAGGCGCCUUGCUGGCCUGUUUCUGACACUGAGGCGCGAAAGCGUGGGGAG
rnacentral:rRNA from 1 species